rnacentral:tRNA from 1 species
GUGCCCGUAGCUCAGCUGGAUAGAGCAGUGGACUUCGAAUCCGAAGGUCGCAGGUUCGAAUCCUGCCGGGCAUA